rnacentral:tRNA from 1 species
GCUCGGUUAGCUCAGUUGGUUAGAGCGUCGUACUAAUAUUAUACAAACUGAUUGUAUAACAUUGGUAAUGCGAAGGUCAUGAGUUCGACCCUCAUACUGAGCA